UACGUAGGGUGCAAGCGUUGUCCGGAAUUACUGGGCGUAAAGAGCUUGUAGGUGGUUUGUCGCGUUGUUCGUGAAAUCUCACGGCUCAACUGUGAGCGUGCGGGCGAUACGGGCAGACUAGAGUACUGCAGGGGAGACUGGAAUUCCUGGUGUAGCGGUGGAAUGCGCAGAUAUCAGGAGGAACACCGGUGGGCGAAGGCGGGUCUCUGGGCAGUAACUGACGCUGGAGAAGCGAAA
rnacentral:rRNA from 1 species